rnacentral:lncRNA from 1 species
CUGCUUCAGUGCAAGUAUCAGGCACCCUCAUUCAGAAAGAGGAAACUGGAGGAAGUAUAUUAAUGAAGAGUAGAAGUUUUCUUUCCUUUGCCUGUCUUUAAUUGGGUAGAAUCCAGGGAAAAUAGACAACAUGAGAGUGUGAGGAAGACUAUCAGAGAAGAAGAAGGGGAUGAGGGAGAGAUAAAAUGAUGUUGAAGCAUGUGAGCUUGACUGAAGAAGAGCAAUACAACACUCAAAAUCACAAUUAAGAUGAUACCUGGUGUCACUGGGGGCUGCUUCAUCUCAAGCAAUGGGAGUGAUGUGGAGAUAUUUCCAUUCCACUACUCUUUCUGUGAUUUGUAUGAUGGCAUCUUAUAUGUUGGGUAGAGAACACAGGAGUGGUGGUAACAUUUGCUAGUUUGAAUAGUUUUAAAACUGAACUUACAGACUGAACUGUAGUCAACAUUGUUGAAAUGUUAGAACUUCUGCAUGGAAAGAAAAACAUGAACAAAAUAGGAACCAAAUCACUCUCUCAUAAUCAAACGCACUACAAAAAGCC